GGGAAGUGUGGUUUGUUUUCGUGGACGUGGGAGGUGGAUAUAAAGGGAGCAGAGAGCAGGUCAGAGCACAUCAGCCCUGCACAUUCAAACAGAAGAACAUCUGUCUGUGUCGGGAACCAUGAAGACUCUGCUGGCUCUCACAGUCCUGACGCUCACCUGCUUCCUGAAGCACAGCUCUGCCAACCCAGUCGCUAUAGACAUGGUGAUAAAAAAUGUUGAAUGCUGCGAGGCCGUCACUAAUAAAAUCCACAUACCAGUGGACAAGGUGACGAACGUGACAAUGACCAGCGGCUGCAAACUUAAAGCGAUCAUAGUCAGCACUGAGGCCAAAAAGAAAUUCUGCCUUGACCCUGAAUGGAAACACACGCAGAUGCAUGUGGCAGAAUUUAAGAAGAAAUCCCAGCAGUCAGGAGCCCUGAAAGUUUAACAUCAAUGAUUUUUACAGCUCGGUGUUCAUGUAUGUUUGAACUGUUACAGAACUUAAACCCAAUAUUUCUGAUGAUUUCAAAGAAAAGUUAAUUAUUUAAACCUUUCAUGUGUUGUUUUUUUAAACUGAGAUAAUACCAAGUAGUACACCUGAACCUUUCAGAAUAAAAGACUUUUGAACUUAA
ensembl:lncRNA